UUUGCUGUCUUCUCUGUCCAUAGGCAGUCUGAGUCAGGAAGGCUGAGUCAUCCCUCCAUAAGAGUUGAAAGAUGACAGAUGCUAAAAGUCUGGAGGACACCAAUCGAGUGGAUGCAGGGUCAAUGGCAGCAUUUUUUUUGAUGAAGAAAAGAAAGAUGGUGAGCAAUAAAACGAUCCACCUUUAUAGGUAAGUUUUCAUGUUUGAAAAUACCUUGUUUUACAUUUUUUAACUUAAAAGGCCUACUGAAAUGAGAUUUUCUUAUUUAAACGGGGAUAGCAGGUUAAUUUUUUGUGUCAUACUUGAUUAUUUUAGCGAUAUUGCCAUAUUUUUGCUGAAAGGAUUUAGUAGAGAACACAGACGAUAAAGUUUGCAACUUUUGGUCACUAAUAAAAAAGCCUUGCCUGUACCGGAAGUAGCAGACGAUGUGCGCGUAACGUCACGAGUUGUGAAGCUCCUCAAAGCCUCACAUUGUUUACAAUCAUAGCCACCAACAGCGAGAGCGAUUCAGACCGAGAAAGUGAUGGUUUCCCCAUUAAUUUGAGCGAAGAUCAAAGAUUUGUGGAUGAGAAUAGUGAGAGUAAAGGACAAGAAGAAAAAAAAAAGGCGAGGGCAGUGGGAGCGAUUCAGAUGUUAGACACAUUUAUUAGGAUAAUUCUGGAAAAUCCCUUAUGUGCUUAUUGUGUUAUUAGUGCUUUAGUGAGAUAACAUGGUACCUGAAAAUCGGAGGGGUGUGGCCACGGGUGUGGUGACCGCCAGUGUCUCCGGUAGGAGGAGGUAAUAGUCCGCAGCUGCACAAUUUUCUCACCGAAACCUGCCGGUUGACAUGUGGUCGGACCCAUGUUCGUUUGACCGCUCCGUUCCAUAGUAAAGCUUCACCCUCGGGAAUGUAAACAAGGAAACACCGGCUGUGUUUGUGUUGCUAAAGGCAGCUGCAAUACACCGCUUCCCACCUACAUCUUUCUUCUUUGACUUCUACAUUAUGAAUUGAACAAAUUGCAAAAGAUUCAGCAACACAGAUGUCCAGAAUACUGUGUAGUUAUGUGAUUAAAGCAGACUACUUUUAGCUUGGAUCGGGCUGGAAGAAUAUGUCUGCUACAACCGGUGACGUCACACGCACGCGUCAUCAUUCCGCGACGUUUGACAGGAUACCUCACGGGAAAUUUAAAAUUGCAAUUUAGUAAACUAAACCGGCCGUAUUGGCAUGUGUUGCAAUGUUAAGAUUUCAUCAUUGAUAUAUAAGCUAUCAGACUGCGUGGUCGGUAGUAGUGGGUUUCUGUAGGCCUUUAAAUUGCAGCUGAUCUUGCAGUGACGCUGGUGCUGUAAAAUAGUGGCGCCAUUAUUCCUGUCCAGAGUGGUAAGUAACUUGCAAGUGUUAUAUGGGGAGUAAUCUCAGGUAGGAAGUGGAUGUUAUCACAAUUUCAUCAGCCAUGGCAAGUGGCCUGCUCUUCACAUAUUUCAGUUACCCACUGUUGGAUGUCAGACUGGAUCUGAGCACACGCAUCCACUUGUUUCACCUGUUCUUCACCCUUGUCAUCUGGAAUUGACACACUCGUGUAAUUUGUGCUCUCAGGUAUUUAUUGUAUCUUUCUAAUGAGAAAAGGACUCCAUAGCUAUUACCUUUGGCUUCACUUGAUGCCACAUUAGUGAUAGCUCGUAAGUUACAUACUCCACAGAUUGUGAUUCAAGAAGCUUUGCUAAAGACCUUACAAGAAAAAAUGUUAAUGCAUUUUCUUCAGGCAGUCCCAGUUCCAGCUCAUCUAGAUGCAGUGUGCAACAUCAACCCUAACAAAACAAGGUGGUAGUUUUGCAUCUUUUUGACAAAGUAAAAUGUUAAAUUAUUGAUGUAAACUUUUCAGGUCAGGAUAAGGGGAAAACACCUCCACAAGAGCUCCUAGAAUGGCCAGAGAAAAAUCACGAAUCCAAAAGCACGAAUCCAUUCGGUCAGCCAUUGUGUGACAGGAUUUGCACCACUAGGGGACUGCUGUGCAGUGCCAGAACACCUUGAUACAGGAAGAUAUGGCUAGAUGAGCCAUUUGGUCUUGUCAGUUUUCUUACAACUUAUCCACUUGCAUCAAAACAUACUCUCUGGUGAAUACACAUGCAUUUGUGUUUCAUUAGUGACAGAACCACAUGUGGAGUUCAAUGUCUCUGAUGCUACCACUGUAAGUUGAACUGUAUUUUAACAGCUGCAAGGAAUAAAUCGUAUUUUUGUCACUUAA